GGCCAGACUCCUACGGGAGGCAGCAGUGGGGAAUAUUGCACAAUGGGGGAAACCCUGAUGCAGCGACGCCGCGUGAGCGAUGAAGUAUUUCGGUAUGUAAAGCUCUAUCAGCAGGGAAGAAAAUGACGGUACCUGACUAAGAAGCCCCGGCUAACUACGUGCCAGCAGCCGCGGUAAUACGUAGGGGGCAAGCGUUAUCCGGAUUUACUGGGUGUAAAGGGGGCGCAGACGGCAGCGCAAGCCAGGAGUGAAAGCCCGGGGCCCAACCCCGGGACUGCUCUUGGAACUGCGCGGCUGGAGUGCAGGAGGGGCAGGCGGAAUUCCUGGUGUAGCGGUGAAAUGCGUAGAUAUCAGGAGGAACACCGGUGGCGAAGGCGGCCUGCUGGACUGCAACUGACGUUGAGGCCCGAAAGCGUGGGGAGCAAACAGGAUUAGAUACCCUUGUAGC
rnacentral:rRNA from 1 species